AAAAAAAAUUUGAGGAAAAAAAAAUUUGAGGAAAAAAAAUUUUGAAGGAAAAAAAAAAUUCAGUUUGGACUUAUAUUUUAUAUACUAAUAUUUUUCAAAAUUUGAAUAUCGAAAGAGGAAAUGGAAACCGAAUAAGGAAAUGAAAAUCGAAAAAGGAAAUAGAAACCGAAUAAGGAAAUAGAAACCGAAAAAGGAAAUGAAUAUUGAAAAAGGAAAAAGAAACCGAAUAAGGAAAAAGAAACCGAAUAAGGAAAAAGAAACCAAAUAAGGAAAUGGAAAUUGAAUAAGGAAAUGAAAAUCCAAUAAGGAAAUAGAAACCGAAUAAGGAACUAGAAACCGAAAAAGGAAAUGAAUAUUGAAAAAGGAAAAAGAAACCGAAUUAGGAAAUGAAAAUCGAAUAAGGAAAUGGAAAUCGAAUAAGGAAACGAAAAUCCAAUUAGGAAAUAGAAACUGAAUAAGGAAAUAGAAACCAAAAAAGGAAAUGAAUAUUGAAAAAGGAAAAAGAAACCGAAUAAGGAAAUGAAAAUCGAAUAAGGAAAUGGAAAUCGAAUAAGGAAAUGAAAAUCCAAUAAGGAAAUAGAAACUGAAUAAGGAAAUAGAAACCGAAUAAGGAAAUGAAUAUUGAAAAAAUAAAAAAGAAACCGAAUAAGGAAAUGAAAAUUGAAUAAGGAAAUGAAAAUCGAUUAAGGAAAUGAAAAUCCAAUAAGGAAAUAGAAACCGAAUAAGGAAAUAGAAACCGAAAAAGGAAAUGAAUAUUGAAAAAGGAAGAAGAAACCGAAUAAGGAAAAGAAAAUCGAAUAAGGAAAUGAAAAUCGAAUAAGGAAAUGGAAAUCGAAUAAGGAAAUGGAAAUCGAAUAAGGAUGAUAAUCGAAAAAGGAAAAAGAAAACGAAUAAGGAAAUGAAAAAAAAAUUAGAAGAAAAACUUUUUGAGGAAAAAUAUUUUUUUAAUAAAAAAAAAAAUUUGAGAAAA
rnacentral:lncRNA from 1 species